AAUUGUUAUUUUUGCUCACGAAAACUUGUACUUUUAGUUAUUUGGUUAAAUAAUUAUUAUCGUAAGAAAAAGUAACAAUUCAUAUGAAAAAAUGUAAUGAUUCAAAAAUAUUAUCACACAAUAAAUAUAUUGUGGGAAAAAAAUAGUAGAAUUAAAAAAAAAGAACAAAAGAAAAGAUGAUGAAGAAAAAAAAAAGAAAAAAAAUUCAAACACAUCACAUAAAUAAAUAAAAUGCAGAAAAAUGAUAAAGAGAGAAAAAAAAAGGGUUAAGUAUCAAAUAUGCGUCUAGGACCCUAUGGUCGAUGUCGGUUCAACUAAACCCCUGAAAUCCUUAAUUUCGUGCAAUUAGCCC
rnacentral:lncRNA from 1 species